rnacentral:pre_miRNA from 1 species
CCCAAAAUAAGUUUUGCACUAUUCAUCUCCAACGUUUGACCGUUUGUCUUAUUUGAAAAUUUUUUAUGAUUAUUAUUUUUAUUGUUAUUAGAUGAUAAAACAUGAAUAAUACUUUAUGUGUGACUAAUUUUUUAAAAAAAAAUUAUAAAUUUUUCAAAUAAGAUGGACGGUCAAACAUUGGACAUGGAUUUUCACAGCUGCAUUUAUU